rnacentral:piRNA from 1 species
GAGGUGCAGAGUUCUUGGUCAUACCGCCC